GACGAACGCUGGCGGCGUGCUUAACACAUGCAAGUCGAGCGAUGAAGUUUCUUCGGAAAUGGAUUAGCGGCGAACGGGUGAGGAACACGUGAAUAAUCUGCCCUCCCCUUUGGGAUAACACAGGGAAACCUGUGCUAAUACCGAAUCUUGAAACAUAAGUGGCAUCACUGAGUUUUUAAAGAAUUUCGGUGGAGGAUGACUUCGCGGGCUAUCAGCUAGUUGGUGAGGUAAUGGCUCACCAAGGCAACGACGGGUAGCCGGCCUGAGAGGGCGACCAGCCACACUGGGACUGAGACACGGCCCAGACUCCUACGGGAGGCAGCAGUGGGGAAUAUUGGGCAAUGGAGGAAACUCUGACCCAGCGACGCCGCGUGCGGGAUGAAGGCCUUCGGGUUGUAAACCGCUUUCAGUAGGGAAGAAGCGUAAGUGACGGUACCUACAAAAGAAGCACCGGCUAACUAUGUGCCAGCAGCCGCGGUAA
rnacentral:rRNA from 1 species